rnacentral:rRNA from 3 species
UCAUUAAAUCAGUUAUCGUUUAUUUGAUAGUACCUUACUACUUGGAUAACCGUGGUAAUUCUAGAGCUAAUACAUGCUAAAAACCUCGACUUCGGAAGGGGUGUAUUUAUUAGAUAAAAAACCAAUGCCCUUCGGGGCUCCCUGGUGAUUCAUAAUAACUUAACGAAUCGCAUGGCCUUGUGCCGGCGAUGGUUCAUUCAAAUUUCUGCCCUAUCAACUUUCGAUUGUUGGGUCUUGGCCAACAAUGGUUUCAACGGGUAACGGGGAAUUAGGGUUCUAUUCCGGAGAGGGAGCCUGAGAAACGGCUACCACAUCCAAGGAAGGCAGCAGGCGCGCAAAUUACCCAAUCCUGAUACAGGGAGGUAGUGACAAUAAAUACUGAUACAGGGCUCUUUUGGGUCUUGUAAUUGGAAUGAGUACAAUUUAAAUCCCUUAACGAGGAACAAUUGGAGGGCAAGUCUGGUGCCAGCAGCCGCGGUAAUUCCAGCUCCAAUAGCGUAUAUUAAAGUUGUUGCAGUUAAAAAGCUCGUAGUUGAACCUUGGGCCUGGCUGGCCGGUCCGCCUCACCGCGUGCACUGGUCCGGCCGGGCCUUUCCUCCUGGGGAGCCGCAUGUCCUUCACUGGGUGUGUCGGGGAACCAGGACUUUUACUUUGAAAAAAUUAGAGUGUUCAAAGCAGGCCUAUGCUCGAAUACAUUAGCAUGGAAUAAUAGAAUAGGACGUGUGGUUCUAUUUUGUUGGUUUCUAGGACCGCCGUAAUGAUUAAUAGGGACAGUUGGGGGCAUCAGUAUUUAAUUGUCAGAGGUGAAAUUCUUGGAUUUAUUAAAGACUAACUACUGCGAAAGCAUUUGCCAAAGAUGUUUUCAUUAAUCAGUGAACGAAAGUUAGGGGAUCGAAGACGAUCAGAUACCGUCGUAGUCUUAACCAUAAACUAUGCCGACUAGGGAUCGGGCGAUGUUAUCUUUUUGACUCGCUCGGCACCUUACGAGAAAUCAAAGUCUUUGG